rnacentral:lncRNA from 1 species
CUGGCAAUCUCGCCUAGAAUCAGUCUCACGCGCAGCUUAUACAGGUGAUCAACUUAAUCCUUAGCUGAAAGGAUUAGAAAUAAUAGCAAGAGUGAGCGAAGAUGCUCAGCAAGAUAAUAUAAAAGGAAAGAGCCACAAGAUAUAAUUUCUUUUGAAUUAAAUCAGAGUAUUUGAAAUAAAACAAACUUUUGAAGUAAAUCACAACAGUUGUAACUCAAAAGUUAUCAAACAUAUAUAUCAAUAUGCUUGAAAAUCACAAAAUAUAUUUGACAGUAACAUAAGCUAUCACAAGCUUAAACAAUAAUGACCAGGUUUUAAACAACGGCGUACUAUCACAGUUGAUCAACCCGUGUGAUAAUACCGGGCAUGUUUCGUGGAAACAUGUCUCAAAAUAGGUACCAAUACAAGGCAACACAUUGGCCUUUGGCAGAAAAGUAUUAUAAUAUUUCAAUAAUACCCAAAUAGCCCUCCGCUGGACCGCCGUCUCGGUCUCUUACGCAAAAACAAAGAAAUCUUCUGAUUUCUUCCAGAAGCAGAUGACUAAUCAUCUAUUAUUAACACAACAUUUUGCUGGUCUAUCUGGCUGGAGUAUUAAAUAGCCCCAUACACCAUAAAAUCAUCAUUUCGAAACUUUUCCAGAAAACUCUUUAGUUUUCAAACUCAAAAUACUGUCAAAAUAAAUUUCAUUAAAGUCUGAGUAUAGUUUUAAAUCCACCACAAUACGGUGAAAAGCAAUCAACAGAGUUAUUUAGUUAUUUAAAAUCUAGGGUUUAUGUCUGGGACAGGAUACCAGGCAUAUAUUGUAGUAUCGAAAUAUGACUACUCUAGAGUCAUCAAUAGUUCCAAAUUGUAAAGUAACUCAGACAAUAAUCUUUCUAGAAAACUGAUUAAAAUAAUCAGAAUGUUUUUCAAAUAAAGUUGUCACUGCACAUAUAACAGUAAAAAGUAUCGAACUAAAGAUAUUCGAUAUUUUAAUUCACAAUAUAAAGGUAUGAAUGCUUGUGGGAAAUACAAGUCAUGCAUAAAUAGAAAACUGCAUUAUCAAAAGAGAGAGUUAAAAUACUUGCUCUUUAAAUAAAAGAGAAGAAUAGAAAUACUUGCCUCUGAUAAAAAAAUAGGUGACAACUCGGUCACACUACUCGAGAUUCCUAACUUGGCCUCAAUUGCUACUCUCUGACAUCACUACACUCUAUUGGACUAUCUCACGGCACAAUAUCGCCUUAUCAAAUUAUUUCUGGCUUGAUUUGCAUCACUAAUUUCUGGCUUCUGAAAGUCGCUGAUGUACACGUCUCGAUCGACUAUUUAUGACAGUAACAAUACUUCAGUUGAAGAAUAAUCCAGAGCAUCGUUUAACUUGCAGAAUCGAAAUUAUAUUACUACCCUUCGCCAUAUAAAUAUAUUAUAUACAAAUAAUAUAUACACGUUGUGUCAAAAAGUUGAACACGUCGUCACAUAAGCACUUAUCAAAUAAUUUACAUGCUUUGAUAUUUAAAUAAAUAUAAAUAUAAUUUAAUAAAUCAUGUAUAUAAUCUUAUAUUUUGAUUAUAUACAAACAAUUAACAGAGUGACAAUAUAACCCUGGCAAUAAUCCAUUUCAAAAAUAUAACCCAAACUAAUCUGAAUCACAAAUCCAAUUGUAAUUCAAUCACACCUCACAUCAACUCAAAAUCUCAUCAAACUAAAUUAAUAAAAUAAUAUAAUUUUGGACAUCAUGUAUUUUAAAAUCGAGCAAACCCCAACUCAAUAACACAACAAUCUAUGUCCAAAAAUAUAAAUAUACAUCACAAUGUCAAAACAAUCAAAGCCCGAAAAUAAUCUUUGACACUAAACACGUAUUAUUUUAAUAAUAAUAAUACAAUUUGUAAUUCCAUUCACAUUCCAACUAUUUAAAAUUAAACUCUAGAUGCAAAUUCUUAAAGCAUCACAUAUUACUCGCAUAUGAUAAGUCAUAAAACACGUAUCAUUCAUCGAUGGCAAUAUCAAUAUUGUAUAUAAUCAAGAAUUCGCAUUAUUCGAUCUCAAGGACAACCUUUAUUCGUCAAUACUCGAGACAGAAAUAGAAUAUAAUUUAAUCAAUUAUUAAUCAUUAAGAUUAUUAAAAGUAUCACUUAUCAUUAUCAUUAUCAAUUGAACCGAUAAUAAUAAUAAUACCGAUAAUAAUAAUAACUCAACAAUACAUAAUUAAUUAAUAAAAUAUCUAUCUCUCGGCCUAUCUGGUUUAGUUUCAUAAGCAAUAGCCGGAUUUCUGGCCAUUUGAAUCCACUCCAACAAUCACCACUGCAUCCUUCUGCAGCCUCCCCUCUCUCAACCCAGUAGUUUACCUCAACCAAUUUCCAACUCAUACAAACAUGCACCAUCACAACAUGCCAACAGUUGCUCCCCCUGCUAACAACUAAACCGAAAACAACCACCUCCAGGUGGUGCCAGGUGCAGCUAAACAUAACAAAUCCAAAGCCUUUUUUUCCAUCUCCAUCCCCAUCUCUAUCAGUCUCACUGGCUGAUGCUUUUUGUUACCAACCUUGAACUAUUAAUCCACUACUCCUCCGUCAUGCCCCAAUCUAUAUCUUCUAACCCACCACAAACCAAAUACAUCCAAAUCAACCCACAACCAAGUUCUGUCCCGCCCCGGCUUCUUCCACCACGACUCCAGUGUAACUUUGUAAACGCCAACAAUAACUAAAACAACUCACCACCAUCAUCUCCUUCAAAACAGUCCCUCACUUCCCCUGCGAUUCUGCUCCAAUCUACUCAACUACCGGAAACGCAGCAGCCCCCUCACACAAGCAAAUUCCCAGCCAGACUUGGCAUCUCGACACCCUUCAAACAGCUCCAAAUUCCCACGGCGGUAACACAGCCUCACGGCGGCGCUGGCCUACCCACGCACAGCCACCGGUCGCUCUCCCUCGAACAGACCCACUGGCCACCUACGUCCAUGCCGCUUGUCACCGCCUCUCUUCAACUGCGCAACACCCCACUACUAACCAACACCCACAACUCGACUGCCACCAUCCUGAGUUCCAACAACGCGGGGUUGCCGCUCUCUCUGCUGCAGAUACAAACGCCGGCCAGCCAACAAACAACUACCUACCGUCGCCCUCCCUUUUCCUCCGACAAACAAUCAGCCCCAUACUCCAUGAUCGAA